UGGUUCUGGCAUCGAUGAAGAACGCAGCGAAAUGCGAUAAGUAAUGCGAAUUGCAGAAUUCCAGUGAGUCAUCGAAUCUUUGAACGCACAUUGCGCCCUUUGGUAUUCCGAAGGGCAUGCCUGUUCGAGCGUCAUUAUCACCCCUCAAGCCCCGUGCUUGGUGUUGGACGGCCGGUCGAGGUGCCCCUCGACCCCUCCCAAAGACAAUGACGGCGGCCUGUGGUUCCCCCGGUACACUGAGCUUCUUACCGAGCACGUACCGGACGAGGGUGCCCGGGACCCGGUCUUCUCCCCCCUUGGGGAAAUUUUUCACAAGGUUGACCUCGGAUCAGGUAGGAAUACGCGCUGA
rnacentral:misc_RNA from 1 species